GGGUUGUGAGGUUAAGCGACUAAGCGUACACGGUGGAUGCCCUGGCAGUCAGAGGCGAUGAAGGACGUGCUAAUCUGCGAUAAGCGUCGGUAAGGUGAUAUGAACCGUUAUAACCGGCGAUUUCCGAAUGGGGAAACCCAGUGUGUUUCGACACACUAUCAUUAACUGAAUCCAUAGGUUAAUGAGGCGAACCGGGGGAACUGAAACAUCUAAGUACCCCGAGGAAAAGAAAUCAACCGAGAUUCCCCCAGUAGCGGCGAGCGAACGGGGAGCAGCCCAGAGCCUGAAUCAGUGUGUGUGUUAGUGGAAGCGUCUGGAAAGGCGCGCGAUACAGGGUGACAGCCCCGUACACAAAAAUGCACAUGCUGUGAGCUCGAUGAGUAGGGCGGGACACGUGGUAUCCUGUCUGAAUAUGGGGGGACCAUCCUCCAAGGCUAAAUACUCCUGACUGACCGAUAGUGAACCAGUACCGUGAGGGAAAGGCGAAAAGAACCCCGGCGAGGGGAGUGAAAAAGAACCUGAAACCGUGUACGUACAAGCAGUGGGAGCACGCUUAGGCGUGUGACUGCGUACCUUUUGUAUAAUGGGUCAGCGACUUAUAUUCUGUAGCAAGGUUAACCGAAUAGGGGAGCCGAAGGGAAACCGAGUCUUAACUGGGCGUUAAGUUGCAGGGUAUAGACCCGAAACCCGGUGAUCUAGCCAUGGGCAGGUUGAAGGUUGGGUAACACUAACUGGAGGACCGAACCGACUAAUGUUGAAAAAUUAGCGGAUGACUUGUGGCUGGGGGUGAAAGGCCAAUCAAACCGGGAGAUAGCUGGUUCUCCCCGAAAGCUAUUUAGGUAGCGCCUCGUGAAUUCAUCUCCGGGGGUAGAGCACUGUUUCGGCAAGGGGGUCAUCCCGACUUACCAACCCGAUGCAAACUGCGAAUACCGGAGAAUGUUAUCACGGGAGACACACGGCGGGUGCUAACGUCCGUCGUGAAGAGGGAAACAACCCAGACCGCCAGCUAAGGUCCCAAAGUCAUGGUUAAGUGGGAAACGAUGUGGGAAGGCCCAGACAGCCAGGAUGUUGGCUUAGAAGCAGCCAUCAUUUAAAGAAAGCGUAAUAGCUCACUGGUCGAGUCGGCCUGCGCGGAAGAUGUAACGGGGCUAAACCAUGCACCGAAGCUGCGGCAGCGACGCUUAUGCGUUGUUGGGUAGGGGAGCGUUCUGUAAGCCUGUGAAGGUGUACUGUGAGGUAUGCUGGAGGUAUCAGAAGUGCGAAUGCUGACAUAAGUAACGAUAAAGCGGGUGAAAAGCCCGCUCGCCGGAAGACCAAGGGUUCCUGUCCAACGUUAAUCGGGGCAGGGUGAGUCGACCCCUAAGGCGAGGCCGAAAGGCGUAGUCGAUGGGAAACAGGUUAAUAUUCCUGUACUUGGUGUUACUGCGAAGGGGGGACGGAGAAGGCUAUGUUGGCCGGGCGACGGUUGUCCCGGUUUAAGCGUGUAGGCUGGUUUUCCAGGCAAAUCCGGAAAAUCAAGGCUGAGGCGUGAUGACGAGGCACUACGGUGCUGAAGCAACAAAUGCCCUGCUUCCAGGAAAAGCCUCUAAGCAUCAGGUAACAUCAAAUCGUACCCCAAACCGACACAGGUGGUCAGGUAGAGAAUACCAAGGCGCUUGAGAGAACUCGGGUGAAGGAACUAGGCAAAAUGGUGCCGUAACUUCGGGAGAAGGCACGCUGAUAUGUAGGUGAAGUCCCUCGCGGAUGAAGCUGAAAUCAGUCGAAGAUACCAGCUGGCUGCAACUGUUUAUUAAAAACACAGCACUGUGCAAACACGAAAGUGGACGUAUACGGUGUGACGCCUGCCCGGUGCCGGAAGGUUAAUUGAUGGGGUUAGCGCAAGCGAAGCUCUUGAUCGAAGCCCCGGUAAACGGCGGCCGUAACUAUAACGGUCCUAAGGUAGCGAAAUUCCUUGUCGGGUAAGUUCCGACCUGCACGAAUGGCGUAAUGAUGGCCAGGCUGUCUCCACCCGAGACUCAGUGAAAUUGAACUCGCUGUGAAGAUGCAGUGUACCCGCGGCAAGACGGAAAGACCCCGUGAACCUUUACUAUAGCUUGACACUGAACAUUGAGCCUUGAUGUGUAGGAUAGGUGGGAGGCUUUGAAGUGUGGACGCCAGUCUGCAUGGAGCCGACCUUGAAAUACCACCCUUUAAUGUUUGAUGUUCUAACGUUGACCCGUAAUCCGGGUUGCGGACAGUGUCUGGUGGGUAGUUUGACUGGGGCGGUCUCCUCCUAAAGAGUAACGGAGGAGCACGAAGGUUGGCUAAUCCUGGUCGGACAUCAGGAGGUUAGUGCAAUGGCAUAAGCCAGCUUGACUGCGAGCGUGACGGCGCGAGCAGGUGCGAAAGCAGGUCAUAGUGAUCCGGUGGUUCUGAAUGGAAGGGCCAUCGCUCAACGGAUAAAAGGUACUCCGGGGAUAACAGGCUGAUACCGCCCAAGAGUUCAUAUCGACGGCGGUGUUUGGCACCUCGAUGUCGGCUCAUCACAUCCUGGGGCUGAAGUAGGUCCCAAGGGUAUGGCUGUUCGCCAUUUAAAGUGGUACGCGAGCUGGGUUUAGAACGUCGUGAGACAGUUCGGUCCCUAUCUGCCGUGGGCGCUGGAGAACUGAGGGGGGCUGCUCCUAGUACGAGAGGACCGGAGUGGACGCAUCACUGGUGUUCGGGUUGUCAUGCCAAUGGCACUGCCCGGUAGCUAAAUGCGGAAGAGAUAAGUGCUGAAAGCAUCUAAGCACGAAACUUGCCCCGAGAUGAGUUCUCCCUGACCCUUUAAGGGUCCUGAAGGAACGUUGAAGACGACGACGUUGAUAGGCCGGGUGUGUAAGCGCAGCGAUGCGUUGAGCUAACCGGUACUAAUGAACCGUGAGGCUUAACCUUACAACGCCGAAG
rnacentral:rRNA from 1 species